rnacentral:rRNA from 1 species
GCUGGCCAUUUGAAAUACACAUAUUCACUUUUAGGAAACAUUAGCAAAGCAGGGUUGAGACUGGUUAGUACUUGGAUGGGAGAUUGCCUGGGAAUACCGGGUGCUGUAGGCU